GACGAACCGAGCGAACGUUGUUCGGAAUCACUGGGCUUAAAGGGCGCGUAGGCGGGUACUCAAGUCUGUGGUGAAAUCCUCCGGCUCAACCGGAGAACUGCCAUGGAUACUGGGUGUCUCGAGGGUGGUAGGGGUAUGCGGAACUAUCGGUGGAGCGGUGAAAUGCUUAGAUAUGACACAGAACACCGAUUGCGAAGGCAGCUCACUAAACUAUAACUGACGCUGAGGCACGAAAGCGUGGGGAUCAAACAGG
rnacentral:rRNA from 1 species